GAUGAACGCUGGCGGCGUGCCUAAUACAUGCAAGUCGAGCGAACAGACGAGGAGCUUGCUCCUCUGACGUUAGCGGCGGACGGGUGAGUAACACGUGGAUAACCUACCUAUAAGACUGGGAUAACUUCGGGAAACCGGAGCUAAUACGGGAUAAUAUAUUGAACCGCAUGGUUCAAUAGUGAAAGACGGUUUUGCUGUCACUUAUAGAUGGAUCCGCGCCGCAUUAGCUAGUUGGUAAGGUAACGGCUUACCAAGGCGACGAUGCGUAGCCGACCUGAGAGGGUGAUCGGCCACACUGGAACUGAGACACGGUCCAGACUCCUACGGGAGGCAGCAGUAGGGAAUCUUCCGCAAUGGGCGAAAGCCUGACGGAGCAACGCCGCGUGAGUGAUGAAGGUCUUCGGAUCGUAAAACUCUGUUAUUAGGGAAGAACAAAUGUGUAAGUAACUAUGCACGUCUUGACGGUACCUAAUCAGAAAGCCACGGCUAACUACGUG
rnacentral:rRNA from 1 species